CAAGAACAGUAGGAGGACAGUUCAUGUUUUGCUUCUGUAGUGCCACUGAAAAUUCAUUUCAUCAACAAAGAAAACAAAUGCUAUCACAGCUCCUGGAGUAAACAUCUCACCAAGUUUCCCUGCUACUUGAUGGACUCAUUUACCACGCAACAGUCUGUGCCCUAUGAAUCAAGACUACUAUGUCUAAAGAUGCUAAUCUGCGCCGGAGGCAGACAGCCGGGGAAGGGAGCCUUCAGAAGAGAAAGAGCCAGGCCUACAAGUGGGAACACGUGCUUUGGCAGCCAUGAUACAUGCCAGGCGACGUCGACUCCAGCCUUCACAUUAUCUAAUGACCAGAGACUGGCGUCUCUCUCAGAACGCUGCAGGAAUUACCAGAGGACACUUAGAGUCAACCUUGCCUUGUCCCUUGUAUUUCCCCCCAUGUGCUUGCCUUCGUGCCAGUCCUUGUUUUUGUGUAUGUGGCAUUCCUCUCCAUUUUCCUCCCUCCAUCGCUGGCACCCUAUCGAAGAGCACACGGUCAAGUUUGACGAAGAACUGCCGUGGCUGUGGAACCAACUCUUCAGCUCCAUCAUAUGCGCGGUGGCCUUAUGCCACCCCUAUUCUAACCCCAUAUGAUUCUCCAUUUGUGAAAACAUCAUCAACGUAGAAUAUUUAUUCUGUAUAUAAUUCAGUCAUUUAGCAGGACUCUUAUUCCCUGCCCAGAUUUUCCAUUGUCUUCUGAUCUGUUUGUUUUAUGUAAAUAUAAUUAAGUGAAACCCUUGUGCUUCCUUAGUCUUAAGUAAUUUGAAAAAGGCCCUAAGCCAUUAUUUCCCUUGAUUGAUGUAGUAUGGAUCUGCAUUGACAAUCUUACAUGUCAGAUCUCCCAGGAAUUUGAGGUAAUUUCUUGGUGACUAGUAUAAUGAGCUCCCUGUCAAAAUCUGUUGUGCCUAGAAUUCCCAUUAGUAUCUAGAGCAAUGUCAUAAUAUAUAUUGUAACGAAAUUGGUUCUUUUUA